rnacentral:lncRNA from 1 species
CUCCUGACCCGGCCUAAGGCCUAACACUGCCUCCUCCUGCGCUUUCCGCCCUUCGCCGUCCCUGACUGGAGGAAACCUGCAGGCUGUCGUCCCCCGAGCUCAGAAGUGCCAGGCGCUGCCCACGGCUUCGGAGAUCCUCGCGCAUUAUAGUGGCCUAUGAGCAGAAUUUGCCAUGCCUUCCAUGGAGAUCUUUUUCCAAGUCAGGUCAACCCAGCCUGCAGCUAUGGAUGCGACCAUCUUGGAAGCCAUGUUAAAGAAGGCAGAGCCAGAAGAUAGAUGCAGCCGGGUUCUCUAAAUCACCACUGGAGAGAAACCCACACACCAAUGAGGAAUACUCAUUUUUUGGAUUUUAAGAGCAAGAAAUAAACUUCAAUUGUGUUCAGCA